UCAAGUGUUCUUCUACUCGAGUGAAUUGACUGGUAUUUCAACAUUUAAGUUCACCUAUCUUUGUUUCAUACUGCAACUUCUACUUUGUCGUGUCCACUGAGAGAUUGCAUCUUUACCUUGGAUAAACAAAAUACCUAGACGGUAGAAAUUAGUUGACACCUAUUCCCCCACCGCUAGAGGCCACAACCGACUAUUGGAAAGUUUAGCGCUCACCGGCUGGCGAACGAAAACGGCCUACUACUAAUUGAUUUCGCCGUCUCCACACUCAAAUUAAACAACUGAUACAUUAUAAGUGCCUUUGCACUUAUAGCUCAAUCGAAUAGAGAAAAAUAUUAGUUAUGUGCGAAAUAUGUAAAUUAAGAGAUCGCUAUUGAGUUGUAUAACUGCGACCAAUAUUUUUUAAGUGCGCACUAUUGAGAUAAAUAAUGCUCACUCAUGAUAUCCAAGUUCGACAAUUUGAACAUGGACACAACCAAAAGAGCACGGCCACAACCUCAACAUAUUUCCUCGUGUGAAAAUGUUAACAAUUGUCGAAUGUGUUCGUAAUAAGGAUUUCUCUGGCUCAAUUAUGCAGAGGUGGAGGAAAUGCACAACAUCGCAGAGGAAAGCUAAAUAUUGCCGUUGAAUGUUCUCAGUUGAACCAUUCUACGCAUGACAUCCAAGAUUCCAAAAACAUGAGGCUCGAGAAUGCGAUAAAAGUUUUCUGAUGAACAUCUGUGCUAUUUACUUUGAACUUCCGGAAAGCAAUCAGAUGCAAGACGUACAUUUUAGCGUUUCCAGUAUCCAGAAAGAUCGACGAGAACUGACAACGGGCUUUCCGGAGGCGAAGCAAAUGAACUUGAAGUGAUUUGAAAACUUAGGACUUGAUUCCGAGUGAAAGUUAAUCCAGGAUUGGAACUGGUUCUAGGAUGGCAGAACUCUCAAACAAUAAUACCAUAGCCGAUCUCCGCUGGUGUGUCCCGGAUGCAACAAAAGAAUUCGGAGAGGAUAAUGCUUCCACAGCGUCCAGUUACCAACUUCCAUACCGAGACCAACAGCUUCAGGAUCAGGACAGUCAGGAUCAAACCAACAAAUAUCAUCCCAUGAAAGCGGUUGGAAUCUGUUCGAUGGAGCAGCGCUACUUCUAGGAAGAAAUCAGCAAGUCAGAUGUUAACUUGCAGCAAAGUAAGAUAAAUUGUUAUUGUUCUUCUAUAAGCGAAUAUAAUUGCUUAAAUAAACAAGUAUUGAGUAGAAAAGAAUUGAUGUAUGUUCAUUAUAUGCGGAUUAUUUCUUAUUUAUGAAAUAUGUGCGAAGCUAAUAAUGACUGCUUGUAUAAGAAGCAACAUU